ensembl:snoRNA
GCUGUAAUGAUGAACCCUUAUGCGUGUCAACUGACUCUGUAGUACCCUGUGCUUCCUGGCCGCUCUUCAACGUUCUGUUGGGGGUGCGUUUGGGGCCACAGGUCUCCAGAGGCAUGAUCAGACCUCAUUGACCUGAACGC